AGGCCGUGACGUGGACACUUUCGCACUAGCUCCUUGAACCUUUCCCAAGUUUCAUAUAAGGAUUCCCCAUCCUCUUGUGAGUAUGUAUUAAUUUCAGUCAUUAAUUU
rnacentral:snoRNA from 1 species